rnacentral:misc_RNA from 1 species
AGCAGCCGCGGUAAUUCCAGCUCCAAUAGCGUAUAUUAAAGUUGCUGCAGUUAAAAAGCUCGUAGUUGAAUUUCGGGAUCAAUAUGUUGGUCGUGCCUCGGUACGUACUAGCUUAUUGGUUUCUCCCUUCUGACGAACCAUGAUGUCAUUUAUUUGGUGUUAUGGGAAAUCAGGACUGUUACUUUGAAAAAAUUAGAGUGUUUAAAGCAGGCUCACGCUUGAAUACAUUAGCAUGGAAUAAUGAAAUAGGACGUUUGAUUCUAUUUUGUAGGUUUCUAGGAUCGACGUAAUGAUUAAUAGGGAUAGUUGGGGGCAUUAGUAUUCAAUUGUCAGAGGUGAAAUUCUUGGAUUUAUUGAAGACUAACUACUGCGAAAGCAUUUGCCAAGGAUGUUUUCAUUAAUCAAGAACGAAAGUUAGGGGAUCGAAGACGAUCAGAUACCGUCGUAGUCUUAACCAUAAACUAUGCCGACUAGGGAUCGGAUGAUGUUAAUUUUUUAAUGACUCAUUCGGCGCCUUACG